UUGGAAAGUAAAAAUGAGUAAACAGGUUCCCGUAGGUUGACCUGGGGGAAGGUUCAUG
rnacentral:rRNA from 1 species